rnacentral:rRNA from 1 species
CACCUGCAUUUAUUUGACGUUACCUACAGAAGAAAGCACCGGCUAACUCCGUGCCAGCAGCCGCGGUAAUACGGAGGGUGCGAGCGUUAAUCGGAAUUACUGGGCGUAAAGCGCAUGCAGGCGGCUUGUUAAGUCAGAUGUGAAAGCCCCGGGGCUUAACCUACGGAAUUAGCAUUUGUAAACUAGGCAGGACUAGAGUCUUGUAGAGGGGGUAGGAAUUUCAGGUGUAGCGGUGAAAUGCGUAGAGAUCUGAAGGAAUACCAGUGGCGAAGGCGGCCCCCUGGACAAAGACUGACGCUCAGAUGCGAAAGCGUGGGGAGCAAACAGGAUUAGAUACCCUGGUAG